GACGGAAGGUGCAAGCGUUGCUCGGAAUCACUGGGCGUAAAGGGUGCGUAGGCGGGCAGGUAAGUCCGUGGUGAAAUCUCUGAGCUUAACUCAGAAACUGCCAUGGAUACUAUUUGUCUUGAAUAUUGUGGAGGCAAGCGGAAUAAUGUCAUGUAGCGGUGAAAUGCUUAGAUAUGACAUAGAACACCCCAUUGCGAAAGGCAGCUUGCUACACUGCGAUUGACACUGAGGCACGAAAGCGUGGGGAUCAAACAGG
rnacentral:rRNA from 1 species